UCCUUCCCUUCUGUUUGUAGCAGGUUAUUUAUGGUGUUUCUGUAAAAACCACUAUGGUCGUUAUUUAAAUUAAACAAAAGGGGGAAAUGUUAGAGUCUGUAAACAAGUCAAAAUAACACCUGGCAUUUUGCCAGAGGAAUGUUAGAGUUCGUAAACAAGUCUGGAUUGUGCCUGGCAAAAUGCCAGAGGGAGUGGUUUGAGAAGUAACAAAAGCGAGC
rnacentral:lncRNA from 1 species